rnacentral:sRNA from 1 species
UAAUAUGCUAGUGCUGUUGUCAUGUGG